rnacentral:lncRNA from 1 species
UCUGAACUCAGAGCAUGGUUCUGACAGCAGUGCUGUAGACAUGGUCUCUCAGCAUCUCUCCAGCACUGCUUGUUUCUGACAUGCUACUGAUAAGCACUGCAGUGUGAGUGAUGAACAGAGGGCAUUGCUGUGACAAGCUGAAAGAACUCAGGUGGGACCUCUCUGCUUCAUGGACACAUUUUAUGGCAUCUGGAAAGCAAUCUGGCAUGGGAGGCUCUGCACCACUAUCUUCUUGCUGAAGCAAUGAGCUUCUGAUGAAUGAACAAACUUUUCGGACAGCGUGUGAGCUUGUGGUCAGAUUUUCAAAUCAGCUAACUUGGAGGUCUGGAAAAAUAGGCUCUGUCCUCAACAUGCCCAUGGGAGUCUUGGCAGCCUCUGCAGCAUUCGUCUCUGAGCUGAGCCUCAGCAGCAGGAAGACUGAAAUUGAAACUAGAGAGGUAGAAUUACUGUUUUCAAUCUGAGACAGUUUUGAACAAGCCCACUUAUGACCUGAUCCCAUUUAUCAGAUUGUUUGUUAAAUUUCACCCUCUUGAGUGGAACAUCCACUCAACAUGAAGUACUUUAUCUCUCAGAGAAACAAAGUCACAAGAUAGGAGAGGGAAUUGAAACAUGGACUGAAAUGUAUGAAGAAUCACCCUGACUCCAUCUUAGGCUUAAAAGCCAUCUUAUAGUAAAGACAAACUAGGUUCAUUCCUGUUUAUAGUCAAACCUGUUUCUCAAGGAUUGGACUUUAUCCCACCUGGAACUUUAACUACAAGUGGUUCUGUAUGUUCCAGAAAUGGCAAUCAUGUCUUUGCUUCAAGAACUGGCUUAUAACCAUAAUAAAAACCGAACUUUGGGGGGGAGGGAAUAAAAAAAAAAAACCCUACCUUAGUUUCAACAGGUUAUAUGACCAUCUAUGACUAACUUGGUAUGACUACCAGUUGCUAUGACUAUCUUGUUAUGUCAUCUUAGUAACCAUGAUUUUGUUUCAAUUAAUUACUUGCUUCAAUAAGUUUGGCCAUAAUGAUUUGGGUCAGUGAUUUUUCUCCUUCCAUCUUUGAGAUUAACAUGUGCUAGAGAUAAAAUAAUUAAAACUGCUAAAUGAAAAGUAA